rnacentral:lncRNA from 1 species
UCAUCUCAGAUGCAUACACUCUAAAGUGCUGCAUUAUGUGCAUAUAUACCCUUCAAAAUGCGUCUUGGGGCCAUUCCAAUUUCCAGCUGACGCAGCACCUGGUGUUCCUUCAAAACGGUGCCAUUGGUGUGCAACAGGGCAGCAGCUUUGCUUCCAAGAGCGACCAGACUGACAACUUCUUGUUGCACCUGCCCAGUAAAAGAACUCACGGCCAAAUCAGACGCGACACCGCCCCAGCCUGCUGCUAAAAUUAUUGAUUAAAAAACCAAGUGAUAAACGCCUGCAGGAGCAAACAAGAUUACAAGAACAUGCAACAUCAGUAAGUGAUCAUGGAAUUUCUUCUGAAUUUUCGGCUCCAUAAUGACCAAAGCUAGUGUACGAAAGGGCCUCGUCUGUCACAACAUGCAGUUUAUAAAUGCCCACAAGGCCAGAUGAGAAAAUGUCAGAACUGCAACAGAGCAGAGACCCCUGUGACAAAACAAAAACAUCAACAUAGAAACAAGAAGGUACCCACACACACACAAAAAAAAAAGAUAGAAACAAGAAGGUGACUAACAUUUCGGCGCUCCUCAUGGGCAACCCCAGCCAGGUUAUCCUCUACUAGUCUGAUUACAUUGCUGUUUCAUGUUUGGAUAACAUUGAUUUUUCUUUUUCCUUCCUCUGCCCUUGUCAUGUUCUUCAGCUUACGAGCUGUGAUCACAACACUAAUGCUCCUUCAGGGCAUAUAGAGAGCGCUAAG